UGCAGAUUGUAGUGGUGGUGAGCAAGACUGAAGAGAGAGAAGAUAGGAACAAUCAAGAUGGAGAUCAACAAGUUUGAUGAUUAGAGCAAUUUCUCCUUGUGACAGGUAAGGGUGAAGGACGUGCUUAUCCAACAGGGGUUGAUUGAUAUUUUUUUAUGCGAUGAGAAGCCGACCAUCAUGGAGGUGCGGGAUUGAAAACAUCUACAGAUGC
rnacentral:lncRNA from 1 species